GGUCUUCAAGGUUGCUGAGCUGCAGUUCGCUGCAGUUCGCUGCAGUUCGCUGCAGUUCGCUGCAGUUCGCUGCAGUUCGCUGCAGUUCGCUGCAGUUCGCUGCAGUUCGCUGCAGUUCGCUGGAGUUUCACCAGAGUUUCGCCUGAGUUCCGCCGAGUUCCACCGAUAUUCCAGCCUGCUUUGGUUCCGGAGAAGAUUCUUUGACAAAAGAAACUGCAGAAAGAAGAAGAAAUGGUUGAGGAUCUGCUGAGGUCUGCUGCAACGCUGGAUGGAAUGGCCCGCCAUGAGGAGCUCGGACUCCUCUCUGCUGCAGAGGCCUCCCCGCCCCGCGCGCACAGACUCCUACCUGCCAGCAGAAGCCAUGGAGGUUCAUCUUAAAACUCCGGUUCCAAAGAUGAGACCUGUUGGUGGACUAUACAUCCUGCCUUGAAGCAGUGAUCAGAAGGAGAGAAACUAUGGGUUGGAGGUGAUCUCAUCCUAGUUAGCAAGUCCUUUGAGCAAUACUUGUGAUUUCAGAGCACAUCAUGUUGACACUGGCUUGGAAAGGGGAUUCCUGGAAUGAAGGCAUCACUUCUGCAUUCUUACAGGCUAUUUAUUAUGCACCACGAAGGCCACCUGGAUGAUGGCUUAAACUUUUCUAGAUCUCAGCAUGAAGAAACACACACAGCCCAAGUCAUCUGGAGCAAUGUCUCACUUUUCAAUAGAUUUAUAAGGUACUUUUGUUUUUGUUGUCCUGUUACUUUGAUAUUUCAUUUUCAUUUUCUUUCUGUGAUUACAACUACCGAAUUUCAAAGUGUAAACAUACAUUGAGGGAGUUGAACAGACCACAAUACAAAAUACUACUUAGAUAAUUGUGUUUUUCUUUUAAGUGAAGGAUAAAGGAAUGUGGUUUUAGAAGUUGUGCAUGUAAUUUUUAAUUGAGAGCAACAGGUUGGGAUUACUUUGCAACUUGUUUUUGUGUAAGCCUGACUUAAUUCCCUUUUGCAGAGAGAAUAAUGAAGACUUAUAUGC